rnacentral:rRNA from 1 species
GCGGCGAACGGGUGAGUAACACGUGGGCAACCUGCCCUCAGCUCUGGGACAACUCCGGGAAACCGGGGCUAAUACCGGAUACGAUCUUCUGCGGCAUUGCAGGGGAUGGAAAGUUUUUCGGCUGAGGAUGGGCCCGCGGCCUAUCAGCUUGUUGGUGGGGUAAUGGCCUACCAAGGCGACGACGGGUAGCCGGCCUGAGAGGGCGAUCGGCCACACUGGGACUGAGACACGGCCCAGACUCCUACGGGAGGCAGCAGUGGGGAAUAUUGCGCAAUGGGCGAAAGCCUGACGCAGCGACGCCGCGUGAGGGAUGAAGGCCUUCGGGUUGUAAACCUCUUUCAGCAGGGACGAAGCGAAAGUGACGGUACCUGCAGAAGAAGCACCGGCCAACUACGUGCCAGCAGCCGCGGUAAUACGUAGGGUGCAAGCGUUGUCCGGAAUUAUUGGGCGUAAAGAGCUCGUAGGCGGUUUGUCGCGUCGGCUGUGAAAUCUCGGGGCUCAACCCCGAGCCUGCAGUCGAUACGGGCAGACUAGAGUGCUGUAGGGGAGACUGGAAUUCCUGGUGUAGCGGUGAAAUGCGCAGAUAUCAGGAGGAACACCGGUGGCGAAGGCGGGUCUCUGGGCAGUAACUGACGCUGAGGAGCGAAAGC